GCUCAUUUGGUGGAAUUGGUAGACACGGCAGAUUCAAAAUCUGCUCCUUCGGGGUUACCGGUUCAAGUCCGGUAGUGAGUA
rnacentral:tRNA from 1 species